GACGAACGCUGGCGGCGUGGAUUAGGCAUGCAAGUCGAACGGUAGGAUACCUUCGGGUAUCUGAGAGUGGCGAACGGGUGAGUAACACGUAGGUGAUCUACCCUCAAGAUUGGGACAACCCAGGGAAACUUGGGCUAAUACCGGAUGAAAGCAGCAGUGAUGUUGUUUGAAAGGUGGCGUAAGCUGCCGUUUGGGGAUGAGCCUGCGCUCUAUUAGUUAGUUGGCGGGGUAAAGCCCACCAAGGCGAUGAUAGAUAGGCGGCCUUAACGGGUGGUCGCCCACACUGGGAUUGAGAUACGGCCCAGACUCCUACGGGAGCAGCAGUCGAGAAUAGUCUACAAUGGCCGAAAGGCUGAUAGUGCGACGCCGCGUGAACGAAGAAGCCCUUCGGGGUGUAAAGUUCUUUUAUAUGUGAGCAGUGCUUUCUAUGUGAACAGCAUGGGGAAGAGAUAUUAGCAUAUGAAUAAGCAACGGCUAACUCGUGCCAGCACG
rnacentral:rRNA from 1 species